rnacentral:rRNA from 1 species
AUGUAUGUCAGAAACUUGGCAAGGAAGCUUCACCGCCGCAAAACCCCAACUUUGCUCUUCAAGCUCAACAUCAAGAAAGCUUUUGAUUCGGUGCGAUGGGAUUUCCUCUUUGAUCUCCUGUGACACCUCGGCUUCCCAAGCAGAUUUCGAGAGUGGGUUUCAGCCCUCCUUUCCAUGGCCACAUCGAGAGUCUUGAUCAAUGGAGUGAUGGGUGACCCGCUGAAACAUGGUUUUGGGCUGCGACAGGGAGACCCCCUGUCUCCCUUUUGUUCGUCCUGGUGA